GGGCUCAGGGGCCGAGAGGGAGCUGGGCUUGGGGCGGGGCCGAGACGGAGCGAGGGGUCCAGGGUGUGAGAAACGGGGAGGGGUUUGAGGAGGGGAUUGGAGUGUGGCUCAAGUUCGGGAGGCGUUACCUGCGGAGGGUUUGAGGCAGGCCCAGGAGCGAGCCCACGGUCUGCCGACGCGGGGCCAGCGGCGGGCCCCAGGAUCCGGAGCUUCGGGCGGGGCCGAGUCCAGGCAGGAAUCGGAGUGCCGUAGUACAAUCACAGCUCACUGCAGCCUCAAACUCCUGGGUUCCAGCGAUCCUCCCGCCUCAGCCUCCCCAGUAGCUGGGGCUACAGCCCAGUAAAGGCGCCAUUCCCCAUUUUACAGCUGGGGAAACUGAGUUACAGAGCUUGUCUACACUGAGUCAACAGGAGCAAAUGCUAGAUCAGGUCUAGCUGGAGUACAGUGAUGCAGUCAUAGCCCACUGCAGCCUCAAAAUUCCUGGGCUCAAGCAAUCCACCCACAUCAGCUUCCCAAGUAGUUGGGACUACAGGCCCACACUACUAUACCCAGACCAACAGAUAUUCUAGCAUAUAAGAAAUGUGAUGCUCUCUGUACAUUGAAGAGUUGGUCUAAUAUUUGGCCUGGUGGAUACAGAAAUUGCCUGUCUGCUCCGCUCUGGUUGAAGAAACCAGUCCGACUGUCUCUGAGGCUAUGGAGCAGUCCAUCAAGAAUGAAAGCCCUCGGCUGGCACGUUGGCUCACACCUGUAAUACCAGCGCUUUGGGAGGCUGAGGCAGGUGGAUCACUUGAAGUCACGAAUUCGACACCAGCAUGGCCAACAUGGUGAAACCCUCUCUCUACAGAAAAUAGAAAAAUUAGCUGGGCCUAGUGACGUGUGCCUGUAAUCCCAGCUACUCAGGAGGCUGAGGCAGGAGAAUCACUUGAUC
rnacentral:lncRNA from 1 species